rnacentral:lncRNA from 1 species
UUUUAAUAAUAAAUUUUAAUAAAAUUACUUUUAUUUUAUUUUAACCCUAUAUAUUCAGGUAGCUGAAUAUUUGUUGAAGAAAUACAUCUGGGGACAAGGACCCUUUCUUGAAUCUCAUAAAUCACACAUGCCUUUUCCUCUGAAAUGUAAGGGGCUACAGACAGAAGGAGAAAGGGAUUUCCUACAUCUUUAAGUGAAGAUGUGAAGAAGCCAAGAUGGCCUUACUUAUAAGGUAGGAUACAUCUGGUGUAAUGAUGUUGCUUGAUCUCUGUCCUGCGGGCAUUGUGUCAUUGUAGACACCAUU